rnacentral:lncRNA from 1 species
CAGCAGAUUGGUCUGGCUUUUGCCGCCUCCCAGGAGCAGCGUGUCAGCAGCACACAGCAGGACCUGGGAUGUGUCCUGGCACACCUGAGACCACCUGGGUGACAACGACAGCGGCUGGCACUGGCCUGGCGCGUGCUGCGCUUGUGAGCGCCGGUGCGGAGCGCUGGUCCUGAUCUGUGUCCGUUUCUGCGGAUAAUUCCCACCUCCCAGGAACACACAGGAGUUUGGGAAACACGUACAGCUGCUGGGGAGCUGGGUGCCCGUGAGCCCGAGCCUGCCCGGGCCUGCGGCCGAUGCAACAGCGAAGGUGUGGAAAUCAUUGAGAAAACGUGGCAAUAUCGGCAGGCGGCUGGGAGCUUCCGUGGCCUGGAGAGCAAAGCAGGAAUCCAACAUGGGCACUGGGGACUGCAGGCUGUGCUCGAUAUUCCCCCACAACGGCUGGGAUCCGGAUUCAUUUUUAAUGAAACGCUUUUUGCUACAAUCCUACAGCAGCCCCAAAUGGUGGCAGAGCUGCUGGAGGGCUCAGAACGAAGGCAGCUGAUGGCUGAGGGAGCCGCAGCUGGGACAGGCUGGCCCCGGCUCCGGCCCUCGCCCGCACACGGGGGGCUCGGAGCCCCCCGGAGCCGCCGCCGUGCUCCUCGGUGGCUGCGGGCUCCGGCCGGGGGCUGCCGGGCCGGGAGAGCCCAGCGAGAGGCCCUGGAGCGUGCGGGGCGGGGGAGCCCCAGUUCCAGGGAUCCAGAAGGAUGCUGUGGGUGGGAGCCCCAGUUCCAGGGAUCCAGGAGGAUGCUGUGGGUGGGAGCCCCAAUUCCGGGGGUCCGGGAGGGUGCGGUGAGGGGGAGCCCCAGUUCCAGGGAUCCAGAAGGAUGCUGUGGGAGGGAGCCCCAAUUCCGGGGGUCCGGGAGGGUGCGGUGGGUGGGAGCCCCAGUUCCAGGGAUCCAGGAGGAUGCUGGGGGUGAGUGCCCCAGUGCCAGGAGCUGGGCAAGCGCUGCCCCUCGCCAGCCCCGCCACCUGCCCCGGGCUGCUGGGGGCUGCAGGAGGGAGGGGGCCUGGAGGGACUCCCCCAACCGGGGAGCAAGCACCGGGGCUCGGCUCUCUGCCCCCGGCCCCUGCACGCCCCGCUGCCCCGGGGGGAGUCACCGGUGUUCCGUGAAUGCAAAUGAACGGGGUUCGGUCCAAAUUGCAUUUCCUCUCCUACUAUGGAGUGUGACGGCACAUUAAAGCCUAUAAUAUUCCACUGCUGCUCUUUUGCAUGAUUUUUUAAUUAAAAAACUAUGGAGUAAACAAACAUUCUGCUCCGGAGUAGCCCUGCAGAG